AGUCGAACGGUAACAGGUCUUCGGACGCUGACGAGUGGCGAACGGGUGAGUAAUACAUCGGAACGUGCCCAGUCGUGGGGGAUAACUACUCGAAAGAGUAGCUAAUACCGCAUACGAUCUGAGGAUGAAAGCGGGGGACCUUCGGGCCUCGCGCGAUUGGAGCGGCCGAUGGCAGAUUAGGUAGUUGGUGGGAUAAAAGCUUACCAAGCCGACGAUCUGUAGCUGGUCUGAGAGGACGACCAGCCACACUGGGACUGAGACACGGCCCAGACUCCUACGGGAGGCAGCAGUGGGGAAUUUUGGACAAUGGGCGAAAGCCUGAUCCAGCAAUGCCGCGUGCAGGAUGAAGGCCUUCGGGUUGUAAACUGCUUUUGUACGGAACGAAAAAGCUCCUUCUAAUACAGGGGGCCCAUGACGGUACCGUAAGAAUAAGCACCGGCUAACUACGUGCCAGCAGCCGCGGUAAUACGUAGGGUGCGAGCGUUAAUCGGAAUUACUGGGCGUAAAGCGUGCGCAGGCGGUUAUGUAAGACAGAUGUGAAAUCCCCGGGCUCAACCUGGGAACUGCAUUUGUGACUGCAUGGCUAGAGUACGGUAGAGGGGAUGGAAUUCGCGUGUAGCA
rnacentral:rRNA from 1 species